rfam:Tncultured Acidilobus sp. JCHS scf1118686607546, whole genome shotgun sequence.
UGGCCCUUGCGGCGCCACGCCGUCCGGUGGAUGGCUCGGCUCGGGCGCCGAGGAAGGGCGCGGCAAGCGGCGAUACUCCCGGGGUAGGCGCAUGCAGCCGCUGAACCCGGGGUCCCCGAAUGGGACCUCCUGCACGGGGCGAACAGCCCCGUGCGUCCCGUAAGGGACGGGAACGCCCCGAACGGAAACAUCUUAGUAGGGGCAGGAAGAGAAAUCAAUCGAGAUCCCCUGAGUAGGGGCGACCGAAAGGGGGGUAGCCCAAACCAAUUCCCUGCGGGAUAACCGUAGGGAGAUGAGGGGUCGCCGCCUCCGCGGCUGGGUCUCGAGCCCAGCGGGCCGACCCACGGUAGCCGAAGAGGCCUGGAAAGGCCCGCCGUAGAGGGUGAUAGCCCCGUAGGCGAAACCGUGGGGGCCCGCGCCGCGGAGGAGAGUACCACGGCUUGGUUUUGCCGUGGGAAGGCGGGGGUCACCGACCUCCAAGGCUAAACACGUCCCGAGACCGAUAGCGAACUAAGUACCGUGAGGGAAAGCUGAAAAGAACCCCGGGUAGGGGGGUGAAAAGAGCCUGAAACCGGACGGCUACACAGGGCGCGGCCCUCAAGGGGUGAUGGCCCCGAAGGAAACCCGGGCGACCGGGGAGUACGAGGGGUCCGGACCGGGGUCGCGCCUUCCGUCUUGAAACACGGGCCGGGGAGUUCACGGCCGUGGCGAGCCUAAGGGGGUCAGCCCCGAAGGCUCAGGGAAACCGACAGGCCCGCAGUCGGGCGAAAGCCCGACGAGGGGCGGGGUCCUAAAAGGGCCCGGAGUCACGGCCGUGAGACCCGAAACCGGGCGAUCUAGGCGGGGGCAGGCCGAAGCGGGGGGCUAACCCCCGUGGAGGGCCGAAGGGGUUCUGACGUGCAACUCGUUCCCAUGACCCCCGCCUAGGGGUGAAAGGCCAAUCUAGCCCGGUGAUAGCUGGUUCCCGCCGAAGUGGGUCGAAGCCCAGCCCCGCUGGAGGCCGGGCCGUGGGGUAGAGCUACUGAUUGGGCGACCAGGAGGGGAAACCCUCCGGCGCCCAGUCAAACUCCGAACCUGCGGCCGCCGAAGAAGGCGGGAGUGGGGCAUCCCGGCAUAAGGCUGGGAGCCGAAAGGGAAACAACCCAGACCGGGGUUAAGGCCCCUAAGUGCCGGCUAAGUGCCAAUCGAAGGGCGUCCCCCGCCUAAGACAGCGGGGAGGUGGGCCUAACAGCAGCCAUCCUCUAAGGAGUGCGUAACAGCUCACCCGCCGAGGCGGGGGGCCCCGAAGAUUGGUCGGGGCUAAGCCGGCCGCCGAGACCCCGGGCCACCCCCGCCCUGGGGGUGUGCGGUAGGCGGGCGUCGGGGUGGCGCAGAAGCGGGGCCGUGAGGUCCCGUGGAGCCGCUCCGAGUGCAGAUCCCGGCGGUAGUAGCAGCGAAGCGGGGUGGAAAUCCCCGCCGCCGGAAGGGCCAGGGUUCCCCGGCAAUGUUCGUCAGCCGGGGGUCAGCCGGUCCUAACCGGGCCCUUAACCGGUGCCCGGGAAGGGGAAACGGGUUAACAUUCCCGUGCCGCGGGGGUACGCUUCGGGGCAACCCAAGGCCCAGCCCCCGACGCCUCGGGGUAGGCGGACUGGGGGCCUCCGUUUCGGGGGCGACCCAGCUAACUGCCCGAAGGCCGCUGAGUGCCGUAAUGGCGAGAGGCGGCUCAAGGGGGGAAUGGCCCGCCUUUUGGCGGGUUCCGCCGAGCCCUGGGGCCCAUGAAAAGGGGGCUGGGAAGGAUCCCCCGCGCCCGUACCGAGAACCGACACAGGUGCCCCUGGGUGAGGAGCCCAAGGCGUCGGGGGGUCAACCCGGGCCAGGGAACUCGGCAAACUGGCCCCGUAACUUCGGGAGAAGGGGUGCCUGCGGUCCUCGGCCUAAACCGGGGUCCGCAGGUCGCAGUGACAAGGGGGACCUGACUGUUUAACAAAAACAUAGCUCCCCGCUAGCCCGAAAGGGUGUGUACGGGGGGUGAAUCCUGGCCACUGGUGGUACGUGAAACCCGGGUUCAACCGGGCGAAGCGCCACUGAAGGCCGGGGGUAACCCUGACCCUCUUAAGGUAGCCAAAUGCCUUGUCGGGUAAGUUCCGACGCGCAUGAACGGAUCAACGAGGUCCCCGCUGUCCCGGCCUGGGGCCCCGCGAACCCACUGGGUGGGUGCACAGCCCCACAACCCCCCGCAGGGCGAGAAGACCCCGUGGAGCUUUACCGCAGCCUGCCGUUGACCCUCGGGUGGAGGCGCGUAGCGUAGGUGGGAGCCCGUGAGGGGUCCCUUUCGGGGGACCCUGAGGCGACAAUGAAACACCACCCACUUCCGCCUGGGGGUCUAACCUGGCUUCGGCCAGGGACAGCGGUAGGUGGGCGGUUCGGCUGGGGCGGCACGCCCGCGAGAAGGUAACACGGGCGCCCAAAGGUCGGCUCAGGCGGGUCAGAAACCCGCCGUAGAGUGCAAGGGCAAAAGCCGGCCUGACCGGGCCCCCAACGGCACGGGGCCCGGACGGGAAACCGCGGCCUAGCGCACGCUCGUGCCCCCUUCGGUGGGGGCCGGGCACGACGGAAAAGUUACCCCGGGGAUAACAGGGUCGUCGCGGGCGAGAGCUCCUAUCGACCCCGCGGUUUGCUACAUCGAUGUCGGCUUUUCCCAUCCUGGGGGUGCAGCAGCCCCCAAGGGUGGGGCUGCCCGCCCAUUAAAGGGGAACGUGAGCUGGGUUCAGACCGUCGUGAGACAGGUCGGGCUCUACCCGCGGGGGGUGCUGGCCGCCUGAGGGGAAGGUGCCCUCAGUACGAGAGGAACGGGGCGCCGCGGCCUCUAGUUUACCGGCUGUCCUGGCGGGCAAGCCGGGCAGCCACGCCGUAAGGGGUUACCGCUGAAGGCAUCUAAGCGGGAACCCCACCCCGAAAAUAGGCGGCCGCUCGUCCUCCCUGGCUCUGCCAGGGAGGACGACGAGGGCUCCCGUAGAAGACGGGGUUGAUGGGGCGGGGGUGUAAGCCGCGAGGGGGAAACCCCGAGCGGUUCAGCCCGCCGCUCCCAAUCGCCCGAGGCCCAGGGGCUA